rnacentral:rRNA from 1 species
UACAGAGGGUGCAAGCGUUGCUCGGAAUCAUUGGGCGUAAAGCGCACGUAGGCGGUUCGUUAUGUCGGAUGUGAAAGCCCUUGGCUUAACCGAGGAAGUGCAUCCGAAACUGGCGAGCUAGAGUACGAAAGAGGAUCGCGGAAUUCCCGGUGUAGAGGUGAAAUUCGUAGAUAUCGGGAGGAACACCGGUGGCGAAGGCGGCGAUCUGGGUCGAUACUGACGCUGAGGUGCGAAAGCGUGGGGAGCAAACAGG